UACGUAGGGUGCAAGCGUUAUCCGGAAUUAUUGGGCGUAAAGAGCUCGUAGGCGGUUUGUCGCGUCUGCUGUGAAAACCGGAGGCUCAACCUCCGGCCUGCAGUGGGUACGGGCAGACUAGAGUGCGGUAGGGGAGACUGGAAUUCCUGGUGUAGCGGUGAAAUGCGCAGAUAUCAGGAGGAACACCGGUGGCGAAGGCGGGUCUCUGGGCCGAUACUGACGCUGAGGAGCGAAAGCGUGGGGAGCAAACAGG
rnacentral:rRNA from 1 species